rnacentral:rRNA from 1 species
UGUUCAUGGCUCAGGAUGAACGCUAGCGGCAGGCUUAACACAUGCAAGUCGAGGGGCAGCGGGGUGUAGCAAUACACUGCCGGCGACCGGCGCACGGGUGCGUAACGCGUAUGCAACCUACCCAUAACAGGGGCAUAACACUGAGAAAUUGGUACUAAUUCCCCAUAACAUUCGAAGAGGCAUCUCUUUGGGUUGAAAACUCCGGUGGUUAUGGAUGGGCAUGCGUUGUAUUAGCUAGUUGGUG